GAUGAACGCUGGCGGCGUGCCUAAUACAUGCAAGUCGAGCGAACGGACGAGAAGCUUGCUUUUCUGAUGUUAGCGGCGGACGGGUGAGUAACACGUGGAUAACCUACCUAUAAGACUGGGAUAACUUCGGGAAACCGGAGCUAAUACCGGAUAAUAUUUUGAACCGCAUGGUUCAAAAGUGAAAGACGGUCUUGCUGUCACUUAUAGAUGGAUCCGCGCUGCAUUAGCUAGUUGGUAAGGUGACGGCUUACCAAGGCAACGAUGCAUAGCCGACCUGAGAGGGUGAUCGGCCACACUGGAACUGAGACACGGUCCAGACUCCUACGGGAGGCAGCAGUAGGGAAUCUUCCGCAAUGGGCGAAAGCCUGACGGAGCAACGCCGCGUGAGUGAUGAAGGUCUUCGGAUCGUAAAACUCUGUUAUUAGGGAAGAACAUAUGUGUAAGUAACUGUGCACAUCUUGACGGUACCUAAUCAGAAAGCCACGGCUAACUACGU
rnacentral:rRNA from 1 species